GCCUAAUACAUGCAAGUCGAACGAUGAAGCUUCUAGCUUGCUAGAAUGCUGAUUAGUGGCGCACGGGUGAGUAACGCAUAGGUUAUGUGCCUCUUAGUUUGGGAUAGCCAUUGGAAACGAUGAUUAAUACCAGAUACUCCCUACGGGGGAAAGAUUUAUCGCUAAGAGAUCAGCCUAUGUCCUAUCAGCUUGUUGGUAAGGUAAUGGCUUACCAAGGCUAUGACGGGUAUCCGGCCUGAGAGGGUGAACGGACACACUGGAACUGAGACACGGUCCAGACUCCUACGGGAGGCAGCAGUAGGGAAUAUUGCUCAAUGGGGGAAACCCUGAAGCAGCAACGCCGCGUGGAGGAUGAAGGUUUUAGGAUUGUAAACUCCUUUUGUUAGAGAAGAUAAUGACGGUAUCUAACGAAUAAGCACCGGCUAACUCCGUGCCAGCAGCCGCGGUAAUACGGAGGGUGCAAGCGUUACUCGGAAUCACUGGGCGUAAAGAGCGCGUAGGCGGGAUAGUCAGUCAGGUGUGAAAUCCUAUGGCUUAACCAUAGAACUGCAUUUGAAACUACUAUUCUAGAGUGUGGGAGAGGUAGGUGGAAUUCUUGGUGUAGGGGUAAAAUCCGUAGAGAUCAAGAGGAAUACUCAUUGCGAAGGCGACCUGCUGGAACAUUACUGACGCUGAUUGCGCGAAAGCGUGGGGAGCAAACAGGAUUAGAUACCCUGGUAGUCCACGCCCUAAACGAUGGAUGCUAGUUGUUGGAGGGCUUAGUCUCUCCAGUAAUGCAGCUAACGCAUUAAGCAUCCCGCCUGGGGAGUACGGUCGCAAGAUUAAAACUCAAAGGAAUAGACGGGGACCCGCACAAGCGGUGGAGCAUGUGGUUUAAUUCGAAGAUACACGAAGAACCUUACCUAGGCUUGACAUUGAGAGAAUCCGCUAGAAAUAGUGGAGUGUCUAGCUUGCUAGACCUUGAAAACAGGUGCUGCACGGCUGUCGUCAGCUCGUGUCGUGAGAUGUUGGGUUAAGUCCCGCAACGAGCGCAACCCCCUUUCUUAGUUGCUAACAGGUCAUGCUGAGAACUCUAAGGAUACUGCCUCCGUAAGGAGGAGGAAGGUGGGGACGACGUCAAGUCAUCAUGGCCCUUACGCCUAGGGCUACACACGUGCUACAAUGGGGUGCACAAAGAGAAGCAAUACUGCGAAGUGGAGCCAAUCUUCAAAACACCUCUCAGUUCGGAUUGUAGGCUGCAACUCGCCUGCAUGAAGCUGGAAUCGCUAGUAAUCGCAAAUCAGCCAUGUUGCGGUGAAUACGUUCCCGGGUCUUGUACUCACCGCCCGUCACACCAUGGGAGUUGUGUUUGCCUUAAGUCAGGAUGCUAA
rnacentral:rRNA from 1 species